rnacentral:lncRNA from 1 species
GCAUAUCAUGGUUCCUUCUACCAUAAAUCAUCAAAUAGUGACAAACAGAUUUGCGCUGGUUGCUCGGUUCGACACAAGACAGGGGUGAAUUUGCAGUAAAAGAAACCUUCGGCGGAGUUUUCGACAUGCGUUGCCGAGUUCAGCCUCGACAAUGAAAGCGGCACAAACGUUCCUCGCGACACCAUCGAGGUCAACCCGAUCCUAACUCUACACCCAAGGGGUCUUCCUACCGAGGGGGCCGUUUCACCUAAAGUAGCAGAGCUGAAAAAAGAACUCUCCGAUCUACAGCGCCAACAGAAAAGGGCGACCAGGAGGUUGACCAAAUUGGGUAAUGCUUACUUCGAUUACCUGACCAGAGUCAACGGUGAGGUCAGACAGCUGAAUGAGGACAUUAAGCAAGCAAUGAAUGACCCUGGUCUGGCAGCAAGGUUGAAGAAUCAGUUAAAGGAUAAAAUCGAGAAGCGCAGAGUAGAAACGAAGAAGUAUAAGACCAGGAAGGCUCCGAUUACUGAGGAGAUGGAUGCUAGGGCGACACUGAUACAACAGAAGUACAAUCAAAUAAAGGAAGAGGAAGCCGCUGUCAAAUCUUUGAAAAAGAUACAUCAAUUGGAAAGUGUGAUAAGCAAAAUUUAGUGUCUGGUAACUUUGAGAAUGUACGUCCAUGUUUUAAAUAAGUUUAUUUUUCGCUCUUGGUUGCAAUUUUCACGAUCAUGAAAGAUCGCAAUCAUUCUUUUGGUUAAACAGAGUUUCAUAGAGGAAAUAAAUAAACGAAACACAUUUCAUACGCAGAUUGUGAAGUUGCGAGGUUCUUUCAGACUUUUCCGAUGCACUCCUCGUGAUGUUUUUGCCAUUAUCUGAUGGAAAAAACUCAUCUUUUUCUCUACCUGAAGUGUGUAACAGGCCCACUUUCGAAUACUGUAGAUUAAAUGGCAAAUGAAAUACUCUGAAAAAUUAGGAUCAAAAUAUCGACAAACUUCCUUAAAAAUUCGCAUUUCAUUUAAGGUCAUCGUGAUUUUUGGGCAAUUUUCUGUAUGAGAGAUAGCUCUCCGUUUUGCUCCGGCUGUUGCAGUAGACCCAAUCCAGAGAAAAAGAUUCACAACUUAUUUCGAAACUGAAUGUUUCAAAAGGGGAAUUUGACAUCAUCCGAACCAGAGUUCGAAACUCACAGGCGCCAACGCGCCAAAUGCGCCUAAAAAAUCAGCCAUGGCAAGUAAAAAAUGAAGGCUUUGCGCCAACGUGGCCCCUAAAAUUUGCCCCCUUAAAAUCUGAAUUUUCAUAUUAGGUGAUUAUUCGAAAUUUUCAGCACCACAAGUAAAAGCUUUUUCUAUUCUUCACGAUUUCAUCAUUUGUGCUUUUGUCUCUCCCAAGUUACAGAUACUUACAAGUUCUGUUACGACAACAUCUUGCGUCUAACUUUUCACUAAAUGCGCCGUGAUAUAUAGGCAAAAGUCAAUUUGGUCCCUAAAAAAUCUUCAAUGGCGCCUAAAAAUCGAGCUUGAUGCGCCACAUGGCUCCUGAAACUCCAAGGUGAGUUUCGCACACUGAUCCGAACGUUCAUACGGCGUUUUUCCUAAACACGGCAGAAUACGUAAGUACCUCCGCCUUUAAAAUGUCGAAAUGCGAGCCGGUCGCCGAAGCCGGCGAAAACGAGGUUAUGCCCGCGAAUGAUAUUCUGUCACGUUCCGCGCUCGGCUGGCACAAUAUUUACUUGGGCUCACAUGCAAGCCGACGCGCAGA